rnacentral:rRNA from 1 species
ACGGCUCAGUAACACGUGGCUAACCUGCCCUUGGGACGGGAACACCCCCGGGAAACUGGGGCUAAUCCCCGAUAGGUGAAGAACUCUGGAAUGAGUCUUCGCCCAAAAGGCGUCGGAUCAUGCUUUCGGCGUCGCCCAAGGAUGGGGCCGCGACCGAUCAGGUUGUUGGUGAGGUAACGGCCCACCAAGCCUAUAACCGGUGCGGGCCGUGAGAGCGGGAGCCCGGAGAUGGGCACUGAGACAAGGGCCCAGGUCCUACGGGGCGCAGCAGUCGCGAAACCUUUGCAAUACACGAAAGUGUGACAGGGUCAUCCCGAGUGCCGACCGCUGAGGUUGGCUUUUACCCAGUCUAGAAAGCUGGGGGAAUAAGGAGAGGGCAAGUCUGGUGUCAGCCGCCGCGGUAAUACCAGCUCUCCGAGUGGUGUGGACGUUUAUUGGGCCUAAAGCAUCCGUAGCUGGCUGAUCAAGUCCCCUGUUAAACCCACCGAUUUAAUCGUUGGCUUGCGGGGGAUACUGCUCGGCUAGGGGACGAGAGAGGCAGACGGUAUUCCCGGGGUAGGGGUGAAAUCCUAUAAUCCCGAGAAGACCACCAGUGGCGAAGGCUGUCUGCUAGAACGCGCCCGACGGUGAGGGAUGAAAGCUGGGGGAGCGAACCGGAUUAGAUACCCGGGUAGUCCCAGCUGUAAACGAUGCAGGCUAGGUGUUUGGACGGCCACGUGCCGUUCUAGUGCCGCAGGGAAGCUGUUAAGUCUGCCGCCUGGGGAGUACGAUCGCAAGAUUGAAACUUAAAGGAAUUGGCGGGGGAG